GUCGCAGUGGCUCAGCUGGGAAGAGGUUUGGCUCUGGCGCAGAGGACCAGGGUUCGACCCCCGGUGGGGCCA